AGGCAACCUGCCCUCAAGCUUGGGACAACUACCGGAAACGGUAGCUAAUACCGAAUACUUGCUUCCUUCGCCUGAAGGGAGCUGGAAAGACGGAGCAAUCUGUCACUUGAGGAUGGGCCUGCGGCGCAUUAGCUAGUUGGUGAGGUAACGGCUCACCAAGGCGACGAUGCGUAGCCGACCUGAGAGGGUGAUCGGCCACACUGGGACUGAGACACGGCCCAGACUCCUACGGGAGGCAGCAGUAGGGAAUCUUCCGCAAUGGGCGAAAGCCUGACGGAGCAAUGCCGCGUGAGUGAUGAAGGUUUUCGGAUCGUAAAGCUCUGUUGCCAGGGAAGAACGUCCUUGAGAGUAACUGCUCAAGGAGUGACGGUACCUGAGAAGAAAGCCCCGGCUAACUACGUGCCAGCAGCCGCGGUAAUACGUAGGGGGCAAGCGUUGUCCGGAAUUAUUGGGCGUAAAGCGCGCGCAGGCGGUCAUUUAAGUCUGGUGUUUAAUCCCGGGGCUCAACCCCGGAUCGCACUGGAAACUGGGUGACUUGAGUGCAGAAGAGGAGAGUGGAAUUCCACGU
rnacentral:rRNA from 1 species